AACGAUGCGCGCGCAUCCGGACUCGAACGAUGCGAGGAAAGGGAGAAAAGAACAGUCGCUAGUGGGGCUGUGUGUGUGUGAACGUUGCGUAUGUGUGAUCGUGUGGUUGCGCGUGGUCCGUAGCGUUGUAAAUUUACCGGUUAGGGUCAAGUAGGGUAAAAAAGAUGGAAGGAAAAUCAAAACUUUCGAAACCGAGCGUGGCAUGAUGUCCCGUGUUUUACGCGUCGACGAAACAUCGAUACGAUGCACUGACUCGAAAGAGUCAGCGAAUGCAGCGCGGCCAGAAGAUUUUGCGCGCCAUUUCUCCAGGUUGUGAUGUCUAGAGGAAAUCUCGAGUAGACGAUGAUUUAACGAAAGCACGCUCUCGAAGACUAAUUUUGAAAAUGUUGGUCGCGUCGGUGGCUAGCUUAAUCUCGACGAGAUUUAUGGGCUGUGACGGAGGGGUUCGGGACACGUGGCUCCGCUUGUUUUCCACCAAUCACAGCACGCUGCUUCGGGUCUCGCUACGUUUUACUUGGCCAAUCCUGGUGUAACCUGCUCGCCGCCUCCGUCACCAUUGGCAGAUACCAGGCUGAUGACUCCUGCGAUUUUCACCAAGAAACCAAACAGAAUCCCUGAUCGCUAGCGGCGCGCGCCGCCUGUUAUCAAACCAGUAAAAAUUCGCUAUCAGGGGAUGAUACCAUCAUCAAGGAAUUCCUCUAUAUUUAAUUAGUCGAUUCGAUUGCGUGGAAAGAGUCGUGAGCACAGAGAUCCAUAAAUCGCUGCGACAGCGUAGCGGCGCGACUCGCAGGCCGGACAGGCAUAGAGAGCCAGACAGUCGCCAGGCAGACGGACACCAGACGGAGACGACUCCGAGCCUACAGAGACCCGGUUUCGAAAUUGUACUUUUUAUUAAUUACGCUCUCUAAACGAAGCAAACCUCACGUUGAUGUUAACGAGAUUUAACUAUGAAUUCUUUCAUAAAUAAUUCAGUUUGGAAUUUUUAAUCAGGGAUCCAUGUUUAUCUGGAUAGUCGAACGAUUGUAUCGACGAAGUGACUGAACCAAGGUGUUGGAAAUUUAGUUUCAUUUCAAGUUAGAGGUUUCAUUUUUCGUCUUGAAACGUCCAAGUGACAGUAGGAUGAUCGUUGAUGCGUUUCGGACGGACAAUCGAGGCGUCCAGACAAGGAACGGGGAACGGACGAUUUUCAACGACGCAAAAGACGUGCCCACACCUCCCUUUUGUCCUUUUUCUCGGUCGACCUGCGCAUUAUUUUCUUCCACAAGCCUGGUCCCGGAUCGGACGAAUGCACCUGCAAGACGGAACAGGUCCCAACAGGUUCGGAUCCCCCUGCUUCGACGCUUCUUACCUGUCCCCUACCCGUUGGUCUGAUUUCAGGGGGUCCCUUAUUUUUUCUUAAAACGGUACAGCGAAGUUCGUGUAUUUCGAUCUUUUGUUGGUAUACAAUUUUUGGUCUGCCCCGCAUAAUUUUCCAGACAGCGUUUGGGAUUGGAGUUGUUGCGAUUUUCAUGUUAUUUUCAUAUUUGAAUAAUCAUAGAUCAAUAAUAAGAUAAACUUAGUUGUGAUGUAAAUAUUUGACUAUUGCGAAGAGUACUAUAUUUACGU